rnacentral:rRNA from 1 species
GACGAACGCUGGCGGCGUGCCUAAUACAUGCAAGUCGAGCGAAGCGGCGGACGGGUGAGUAACACGUAAGGAACCUACCGAUAAGCGGGGGACAACCUCCGGAAACGGGUGCUAAUACCCCAUACUUGGCGAUUGCCUUACGGGGCAUUAGCUUGUUGGUAGGGUAACGGCCUAACAAGGCAAUGAUGCAUAGCCGACUUGAGAGGAUGGACGGCCACAUUGGGACUUGGACACGGCCCAGACUCCUUCCGGAGGCAGCAGUGGGGAAUCUUCCGCAAUUGACGGAAGUCUUACGGAGCAACGCCGCGUGAUAUAUGAAGGCCUUCGGGUUGUAAAGCUCUGUUAAUCGGGACGCGGUACCGGAAUAGAAAGCCACGGCUAACUACGUGCCAGCAGCCGCGGUAAUUC